rnacentral:rRNA from 1 species
GAUCCUGGCUCAGGACGAACGCUGGCGGCGUGCUUAACACAUGCAAGUCGAACGCUGAAGCUCAGCUUUUGUUGGGUGGAUGAGUGGCGAACGGGUGAGUAACACGUGAGUAACCUGCCCUCUUCUUUGGGAUAACGCCCGGAAACGGGUGCUAAUACUGGAUAUUCACUGAUCUUCGCAUGGGGGUUGGUGGAAAGGUUUGUUCUGGUGGGGGAUGGGCUCGCGGCCUAUCAGCUUGUUGGUGGGGUG